rnacentral:ncRNA from 12 species
GUCCUGCUUCCAAACUGUCCCCGUAUGGAGUGCGUGCCUGUAGCGGGCUAGGAAGUAGAGCCGCU